CUUUGAGUAUUUCUGAGAUGUUAUUUCAUUUGACACCACCUACAAUACAAACAGGUAUAAUUUGGUUUGUGGUUCUUUUGUCGGGGUGAAUCACCACAGUCAAUCAACACUUCUUGGAUGAGCUUUGAUGAAAAACGAAGAAAUUAAAUCAUUCAAAUGGUUAUUUCAAUGUUGGCUUCGUUGCAUGAGAGGAAAUGCUCCUAAAGGGAUUCUCACCGAUCAAUGUGUGUCAAUGAAAAGGGCUAUAGAGGCUUGUACAC